UUUUUUUUUUUUUUUUUAACUUGUUUCCCUUGUGCCUACAAGCUUCCAAGGUAAAAACUAUCUCUUAGCGUUAUACUGUGCUGCGCAUUUUUCCUUGUUAAUCUAGUUAUGCUCUGUAGAUAUGGAACAAGUUCCUCUACUUCUUCUAUGAUAAAAGACGCAAUGCCUGCCAAAAGUUCUAAGGUUCCCCUUGUCAUACUAGCGGGUCCUCAGGCCAAUUCUAGUCCAUUUGUUUGCAAGGCCAAAGCAUUAACCUCAUAAGCAUCCUUCAGUUCUUUCCCUGCUUCUGACAUUAAUCUUAUCACCAAACUUGACCAAGG
rnacentral:misc_RNA from 1 species